AGGCUUCUCGCAUUGCUCACCAGCACCCAAACUGCACCUGGUCACCUGUCUACAUUCAGAUUUGGAUGAAAGCCACACCAUGGAGGCAGCCAGAGGCCCAUGGGAGAUGUCUGGAUUCGCAGAGCAAUAGCUCCAUGUGAUGCAAACCUUGACUAAUGGGAACAGGAAAAGGGAGGAAACCAGGAAGAUAAAUCUCCCUCCCUUCUCAUUGCUCCUUGCAACCCUUCCCACUUGAAGCAUGACCACAUUUAAUGAACAACCUGCUGUGUCUCUUGGAAGCUUGCUGCAAGGCAGCAAUCAGCACAAUAACAUUGUACUGUAUCUUCCUCUGCUUCACUUCUCUUCCUCCCUCACCCUCACUGCCCUGAGCUGGCACAUCCCAAAGAAAGCAUUACCACA
rnacentral:lncRNA from 1 species